AUAUGGGUGUCCGGCCGCGGUGCCCCACCGACAGGUGGGGACGCCCAGCCCUAGGGGCGUUGGGGGAAGUCCGGUGCAAGUCCGGCGCUGUCCCGCAACGGUAACCGGGCCUCCGCCCGGAAGCCCGAGUACCCACAUCGCGGCCUAACGCCGUAG
rnacentral:ncRNA from 2 species